AGCCGAUUGUCCAUUCCGUUAAUAAGUUUCAAUAUUCUGUUGGACACGUAUUAUAUAGAGUCUGGUCAUCGUGAAAAAACGUUUGCCUUUCAUCUUUUCCAUCUCCUUUCUUUUAUACGAUCGUUCGACACGAACAAUGUCUGACAGAGCGAGUAGCCUUUAGAGCUUCCCACAGCAACAAUUCAGUUUCUGGACGUCUUCAAAAGUUCGGGAUACAUUGGUAGAACGCAGUAGCGGCGUUCGACGUCUUUCCACGAGACAUUGGCGAGAGAAGAGCGAAAGCCAGGCCUGAACAAAGAGGAAGACACCAGCUACGAGCAGGAGAGGUCAAGAUUGUCGCGAGUCUUGUGCGCGGCCGCGAGAGAAACGAGAAAUUCCUAUUUACAUAUUUAUUCCACGAAGAAGAUCCACCGGAUAGACGGAAAAUGUCGUGACGCAUUAUCGGGUCCUUUUCAUGAGAAAAAUUCCCGGUUGCUCUUUCCGUGACCGAGAUAUGUAUGGCUGCUCUAUCAAGCUCUACCACUGUCUUCCGUAACAUUCUGUCUGACUGAUCGAAACGGGGACAAUUAGAUGCAAGCUUCGAGAUUAUAAAUGAAUUGAAAAUUAUGCGGCAAAUGUACGAGUACAAUAAGUC